rnacentral:rRNA from 1 species
GAUGAACGCUAGCGGCAGGCCUAAUACAUGCAAGUCGAACGGUGUCUUCGGACAUAGUGGCGCACGGGUGCGUAACACGUAUGCAACCUACCUUACAUUGGGGGAUAGCCUUUCGAAAGGGAGAUUAAUACCGCAUAAGACAGUAGCUGGGCAUCCAGCAGCUGUUAAAGAUUUAUCGAUGUAAGCUGGGCAUGCGUCCAAUUAGCUAGUUGGUGAGGUAACGGCUCACCAAGGCAAUGAUUGGUAGGGGAACUGAGAGGUCAAUCCCCCACCCUGGAACUGAGAUACGGGCCAGACUCCUACGGGAGGAAGCAGUAGGGAAUAUUGGGCAAUGGACGCAAGUCUGACCCAGCCAUGCCGCGUGCAGGAUGAAGGCGUUAUGCGUUGUAAACUGCUUUUAUACAGGAAGAAACGACUCUUGCGAGAGGCAUUGACGGUACUGUAUGAAUAAGCACCGGCUAACUCCGUGCCAGCCGCCGCAGUAACAC